rnacentral:lncRNA from 1 species
UCAUGUCCACAAUUUAACUAUUACUAAGACAUACUUCAAAACUCUGGCUAACCUCCUGGUCUACCCUGUACCUGCACAUCUGGGGUUAGGGGAGAGGGGUGAGCUACAAAGCCCAGUGAGCAGAACAGUGAAAACAUAUAUUAAAAUUUCAUGCUUUCAUGAAAUGCAACACAUCACAACAAAUCACAUCUCGGAUGGUAUUGUCACCUAUAGUCCUCUACAUAGUCCAACUGUGCCGGGACGUAGAAUGGGUACAACCGGUCUUUCUCUUAACAUAACAUAUCAUACAGUCCAACUGUAACGACCCGAAAAUCGGACCGCUACCGGCGCUAGGAUCCGGGUCGACUUAAGGCCGCCGGGACCCGUAGCAAGCCAAACAUACAUCCUGAAAACCUGUUUAAUCCCAUACAUGAUCAAGAACAUACAUAAAAAUUUAAACUUUUCUUUCAUUCAUCCAACUCAACCUGAACAUACAUGUACAUAGUCAUGAUCAUAAUCAUGAUCCCUCUGUGGGAUCUCAUCAAUGCCCCAACGGGCGAUACCACAUGAGAUGAGUUGGCUUAAACAUAAACAUUAUAAAACAUUUCUAUAGAUCAUGUAUCAAAGGGAUUACAAUACUCAUAGGGUCAAGCACAUCUAUAACCUCAAUAUACCUCAUUACAUAACAUACUGUAAUCUCUUACAUUACAUCAUAAUACAUCUGUCAUGUCCACAAUCUAACUAUUACAACAUAAGACAUACUUCAAACUCUGGCUAACCUCCUGGUCUACCCUGUACCUGCACAUCUGGGGUUAGGGGAGAGGGGUGAGCUACAAAGCCCAGUGAGCAGAAUAGUAGAAAACAAUAUGUUAAAAUUUCAUGCUUUCAUGGAAUGCAACACAUCACAACAAAUCACAUCUCGGAUGGUAUUGUCACCUAUAGUCCUCUACAUAGUCCAACUGUGCCGGGACGUAGAAUGGGUACAACCGGUCUUUCCCUUAACAUGUCAUAUCAUACAGUCCAACUGUGCCAGGGACGUAGAAUGGGUACAACCUGGACUUUCUCUUACAUCGUGCCAGGGACGUAGAAUGGGUACAACCUGGACUUCCAUACCAUAUCAUGCCAUAACAUCAUCAUAUCAUAUGAGGACUAAAGGAUCAUUCAAUAACCAAUCCACAUCAACAUCAUAAAUGCAAUGCAACAUAUUCGUGAAUACUAAUGCAGCAACCUACUAUAUCUCAUGGCAUUCAUGAUGCAUGGAUCAUGCUCAAAAUUCAUAUUUCAUUUAUUUUAAAACUUAAGGUUUAUUCCACUCACCUCUGGCUAGCUCUGACAAACUCUGUAGCAGCUGGCUCACUGCUGGGGUCCUCGGUUCCUCGGGUCCGAACCUACACGGGUGGACUCCAAUGAGGGACCAAACAUACAUAAACAUAACUCUAAUAUACUC